CAGUCGACGAGUUCUCGUUGAUGAUCGGUGCUUGCACCGAGAUUCAACAUGGAACGAGUGGCGGACGGGUGAGUAACACGUGGGUAACCUGCCCUUAAGUGGGGGAUAACAUUUGGAAACAGAUGCUAAUACCGCAUAGAUCCAAGAACCGCAUGGUUCUUGGCUGAAAGAUGGCGUAAGCUAUCGCUUUUGGAUGGACCCGCGGCGUAUUAGCUAGUUGGUGAGGUAAUGGCUCACCAAGGCGAUGAUACGUAGCCGAACUGAGAGGUUGAUCGGCCACAUUGGGACUGAGACACGGCCCAAACUCCUACGGGAGGCAGCAGUAGGGAAUCUUCCACAAUGGACGCAAGUCUGAUGGAGCAACGCCGCGUGAGUGAAGAAGGCUUUCGGGUCGUAAAACUCUGUUGUUGGAGAAGAAUGGUCGGCAGAGUAACUGUUGCCGGCGUGACGGUAUCCAACCAGAAAGCCACGGCUAACUACGUGCCAGCAGCCGCGGUAAUACGUAGGUGGCAAGCGUUAUCCGGAUUUAUUGGGCGUAAAGCGAGCGCAGGCGGUUUUUUAAGUCUGAUGUGAAAGCCCUCGGCUUAACCGAGGAAGCGCAUCGGAAACUGGGAAACUUGAGUGCAGAAGAGGACAGUGGAACUCCAUGUGUAGCGGUGAAAUGCGUAGAUAUAUGGAAGAACACCAGUGGCGAAGGCGGCUCUCUGGUCUGCAACUGACGCUGAGGCUCGAAAGCAUGGGUAGCGAACAGGAUUAGAUACCCUGGUAGUCCAUGCCGUAAACGAUGAGUGCUAAGUGUUGGGAGG
rnacentral:rRNA from 1 species